rnacentral:lncRNA from 1 species
UCAACACUUUACACUGAAUUCAGCCUCAUCAGAUUCUUCAAGACCAAGAAGAGCAUCUUCACUAGCUGUAUUGUGUCCAGUGUCCACAAGUACAACCAUCAGUUCAGGCGCACCAUCCCCAUCAGGUUAAUCUGCUCCUGAGGAUUCGAGAUCCGAAGAGACAAGCUUUUUAAUGACACAUGAUCAAAGAAUUUUCCAGGGCCAAGUAUGAUUUGAAGCAGUAGUUAGUUGGAUAAGUAAAUAUCUCAGAGCAUGUAAUUUACUUGCGUCCGUGGUAGCACAAUUAAGUUCCUAUAACAACAAAAAUUGUACUCCUAAUAAACAGUUCUCUGAAGAACCUUGAGCAUGAUCUUAGCAAGCAAAGCCAAGAUUAAGUCAUUAAAACUAAUUUUAGUGGAGGUCAAUAAAGCUUCCAAAGUUCAAGUCAUUGGUCGAAAUGAGCAAUUUUGCAAAUAAUUCUACUACAAAUAUAAGAAAUCUGGAGAUAAGAUUGAUCAAAUUAUAACCAUCUUAUAAAAAGCAGAGAAGUUAGUUUCUAAUACUCCAAAAAGUCACUUUCCCAUCUUCACACAUUAUGUAAAUGUAUUUUAUGUACUUGGAAUAUUUAAAUUACAUAAAAGAUUUCACACUAGACCUAUUUACUCAUAGAAAAUAAAAGGAUUGUUAAUUGCAAAGAUUAUUAAAUAGGGGUAGAUUAAAGAGAGAAUAUAUAUUGCACAUUUAAUAAGUAAACUAUGAUUUUGGAACAGUUAAAAGACGAACAAGGGACUACAUGGGAUGUAGGGCGUAACAUAGAUUGAAAGGGAGUACCUCUUUUGAUAGUUGACUUUCCAUGGCCUGCGGUUUCUUGAAUGCUUUCUCAUCAUUGCUAUUCAAAGCCCUUGUGACACAGAUACUGAAAGAAUGUUGUAUAAUAUACCCAAAAACCGCAUAAAGUAGGAUCAAGAUCCUUUGCC